rnacentral:misc_RNA from 1 species
CCGAGUCGUCGACACGAGUUGUUGCUGGUCCUCAAACAGGGGACACGUGCACGCUCUGUUUACACAUCCACUCACACCUGUGCACCCUCUGUGGUUCUACGGUCUGGGGGGCCCUGCCUCCCUUCUGUGGUUCUGCAUAUUUACACACACACACUGUAACAAAGUCUUACGGAAUGCACAUCGCGUUUAACGCAAUACAAUA